UAAGGUGGACUUUUUGAGAGGGUCAAACUAAACAGCAAUAUUUAAGAUUCUCAAUGCUUAAAUUAAAUUCACUCUUGGGAAGGUCUGAGAUUGGGGCCAACAUCGGCACUAAGAGGGCCUUUCCUGAGCCUGAGAGAGUUCCCAAAGAGCAGGGCCUCCCUGUGAGGGCAGACUGGGCAGGAGAUGCUAGGAGCCCAUCCUUGGGCAGGGGCCUGGCGAUUUAGCUUAGCUGGGCCUUGGAACAGACUCAACAACUGUGAACUGAGUUCAAUGGCUGAGUAAGGCACCCUAUACUGGAGCCUCAUAACCCAGUUCAGAUCACUCUCCCUUGCCUUA
ensembl:ribozyme RNaseP_nuc Nuclear RNase P